GGUUAAGUGACUAAGCGUACACGGUGGAUGCCUGGGCAGUCAGAGGCGAUGAAGGACGUACUAACUUGCGAUAAGCGCAGAUAAGGCAGUAAGAGCCGUUUGAGUCUGCGAUUUCCGAAUGGGGAAACCCAACUGCAUAAGCAGUUACUGUUAACUGAAUACAUAGGUUAACAGAGCAAACCGGGGGAACUGAAACAUCUAAGUACCCCGAGGAGAAGAAAUCAACCGAGAUUCCGGUAGUAGCGGCGAGCGAACCUGGAUUAGCCCUUAAGCACUCGGUGAAGUAGGUGAACAAGCUGGAAAGCUUGGCGAUACAGGGUGAUAGCCCCGUAACCGACGCUUCAUCGAGCGUGAAAUCGAGUAGGGCGGGACACGUGAUAUCCUGUCUGAAUAUGGGGGGACCAUCCUCCAAGGCUAAAUACUCCUGACUGACCGAUAGUGAACCAGUACCGUGAGGGAAAGGCGAAAAGAACCCCUGUGAGGGGAGUGAAAUAGAACCUGAAACCGUGUACGUACAAGCAGUAGGAGCACCUUCGUGGUGUGACUGCGUACCUUUUGUAUAAUGGGUCAGCGACUUAUAUUCAGUGGCAAGGUUAACCGUAUAGGGGAGCCGUAGCGAAAGCGAGUCUUAACUGGGCGCUCAGUCUCUGGAUAUAGACCCGAAACCGGGUGAUCUAGCCAUGGGCAGGUUGAAGGUUGAGUAACAUCAACUGGAGGACCGAACCGACUAAUGUUGAAAAAUUAGCGGAUGACUUGUGGCUAGGGGUGAAAGGCCAAUCAAACUCGGAGAUAGCUGGUUCUCCCCGAAAGCUAUUUAGGUAGCGCCUCGGACGAAUACUACUGGGGGUAGAGCACUGUUAAGGCUAGGGGGUCAUCCCGACUUACCAACCCUUUGCAAACUCCGAAUACCAGUAAGUACUAUCCGGGAGACACACGGCGGGUGCUAACGUCCGUCGUGGAGAGGGAAACAACCCAGACCGCCAGCUAAGGUCCCAAAGUAUUGCUAAGUGGGAAACGAUGUGGGAAGGCUCAGACAGCUAGGAUGUUGGCUUAGAAGCAGCCAUCAUUUAAAGAAAGCGUAAUAGCUCACUAGUCGAGUCGGCCUGCGCGGAAGAUGUAACGGGGCUAAGCAAUACACCGAAGCUGCGGCAAUGUCUUUUAGACAUUGGGUAGGGGAGCGUUCUGUAAGCCGUUGAAGGUGAAUCGUAAGGUUUGCUGGAGGUAUCAGAAGUGCGAAUGCUGACAUGAGUAACGACAAAGGGGGUGAAAA
rnacentral:rRNA from 1 species